rnacentral:lncRNA from 1 species
AGAGGUGUCGGCAUUCACUCGUAAAAUUGCGAACCUAAAGCUGAGCAAAUCGGUGCUGGGAAGCUGGUGUCAGGGCAGCGGUGGUGUCGGAGCGAAGUCCUGUGCUGAAGUCCACGUAGUCUUCCAUCGCUUCCUGCAUUGGACGCUGCUGUUCGUUGUCCACAUUAGUUGAAAACCAGAAGAAGUACCGUUUGUUUUCAUGUUUUGGUAUUUUCGAUCGGGUCACAAGCGUGAACGGAGCGCGAAGGCAACUCAAGAGUUGCAGUGCCCAGACGUUCGCAAGCAUUGGUGGCGAUUGAACCCUGGUGAACCCUGCCUGCUGAGCGGAGUACCGACGACGUGCAGGGGUAUCAGGGACAGCGGCAACACGGAAACGCCCUGCUCACCAUAAAAAUGAAGUGAGGAUUUAUACCAAGCGCUUUCGAAAAACACUGCGAAACACCGCGAAUUCCUCCUAUUCCUCCUGGUCAGGCGUGAUAAGUGGGAGUGUCAGGGACACCUAUCUUUGCGAGUCAUGUGGAUUGCAGCACACAGUUAUCUCCAUAGGCGCUUCGUUUCAGCAGCGGGUAAACAGUCCUUAACGUUGCAAACGGCAAUACGGGAGGGUUAUAAAUUGGAAUUGAUAAAAUGUCAGCCUGAUAGGGUUAGGAUUGUAAUGGGAGGUCGUGCACCGAUAACAAGGCCUCGGCAGGACUGGCCAGUGUUUGCAUCUGCCGGUCCAUGUAUUCCCUCAGGCCGUAUGCAC